AAGUCGUAACAAGGUUUCCGUAGGUGAACCUGCGGAAGGAUCAUUAACACUAAUGAAAUCCAAAACCUUUUGGAUCAACCCAACCUUAGCGAACCGUUCGUUUUUUCCCUUUGCCAUUUUUAUUAAACGCAAACAAAUCUGAUGUAAAGUGUCUGAUUCUUAUUCCCGUUUUCCCUGAAAAGGGUACAGCUGGAAUCAAAAAUCUAACGCAAUACAACUCUUAACAACGGAUAUCUUGGCUCUC
rnacentral:misc_RNA from 1 species